rnacentral:lncRNA from 1 species
ACCUUGAAUUUAAUCAUACAAUUCCAUCAUAUUGACAAUUUUAAAAAACUAAUAAUACUUUAUUAUCAUAGUCUUACCAACAAAACAUGUUUCAUUCUUUCAUCUUGACUAAGUCAGAUGAAUCGGUACUGCAUUAUGCAACUUUCUAUUUUUUUUCUUCUCUCCUUUGUAUUGAAGGACGAGCAAAAAUAAAUAAAUACUUAAUCUAAUACAAAUCCCAACCCAAUAUUCACGACUGAUCAAUUCUUCCUCCAUGUGUUAAGUGUUCUAUAUUUUCAUAGGUGACAAUUCAUUAAUCUCUAAGAUUGUGUUAGGAUUAAGAAAUAUUUUGUAAAUUAUUCUAUUUUUUUAGUUUAUAAUAAUUUUUUUUUAAAUUAAAAUAUAUUUUUUAUACUUUUAAAUUCUUCUAGCUCAUCAAGUGAAACUAAAAAAUAUAUGAAAAAACAAAAUUCAAAAACUAACGAAACAAAAUCUCACCAAAAACAAAAAAAAAUAAAAACCAACAAAACUAAAUUAGCCUCAUUUGUAUCAAACAUAAGAUCCAACCUGAUUGCAUCAACAACUAGAUCUUGAUCCACCUUGAUUUGUACCAAACAUGAGAGAGAGAGA